rnacentral:rRNA from 1 species
AUGGCGCACGAUCUCGUCGUCGCUUGCCAGAAAUCGAACGGGCUCAAGAAGCUCUUCUGUGCCGGCGAGCAGGCUGCGAAGUUCAAGAAAGUCAACGACAUUCAAUUGCUCAGCCAAAUCUCCCUUACCCACCGCCUCGACCAGAUCCUCUCUCCUGAUGCAACAACUAUGGUUGCUUCUGCAUCUGCUAUGGUGCCGGCGCCAGGCAAAGGCUUCGACUCGCGCUCUCUGCAGCUCAAGGCAGCUGCGCACUUCACGUCAGCGGAGAUCGCCGUCUUGACCGGCAACUACGGCCAUGUGCUCAGUGAGGACAGCUCCGGAACGGUGUACAAGGGCCGUCUCCACGACGGCCAGGAGGUGGCCGUCAAGAGCCUGAAGAACCACGGGAGUCAACGAGAGGGUGCGUUCGUGGCGGAGAUCGAGAUCCUCCGAAACCUCCGUCACAACCACAUCGUGCGCCUGGUGGGCUGGUGCACGGAGGAUGACGAACGCAUGUUCGUCUACCAAUACCAGCACACGAGCAACGGCACGCUCAGGGAUCACCUGACGCCGGGCGGAAGCGGCGGCUCUGCCUCUGCGUCGCCGGUGACGUCGUCCUGGAAAACGCGUCUCCAGGCGCUGCUGGGCGCGGCCGGUGCCAUCGACCACCUGCACCGCUUCGCCGUGCCGGGGAUCAUCCACCGAAACGUCAGCUCCUCGAGCAUCCUUCUCGACAAGAGCUGUGUGCCUUGCCUGUCGGACUUCGGCGCGGCGAUUUUGCAAGUGCCGACGACGGGCGGCCAGCACGUCGGGGACGUAGUCGGCAAAGUCGGGUACACAGACCCGGAGUACUGCCGCACGAGGUGCGUGAGUCCGGCGAGCGACGCGUACAGCUUCGGCGUGGUGAUACUCGAGGUGUUGACUGGCAGGCCGCCUAGCUGGGAGGGGAAGGACCCGAACACCUUGGUUGGCUUUGCCGUCCCGGCCAUCGAGAGUAGGAACUAG